AGAUUGAUUGAUUGAUUGAUGUUUUCCGCCACACUCAAAACAUUUUCAGUUAUCUGGUGCCGCCCAGUUUUUAUUGGUGGAAGAGAGAACCCAGAUACAAUGUACCUGGGAAGAGACCACAGACCUUCCGAAAGUAAACUGGGAAACUUUCUCACUUAACGGCGCGAGCGGGAUUCGAACCCGCGCCGACAGAGGUGAGAGGCCGUGUGAUUUUUGAGCGCGAUGCUCUUUUCUUUUCUCUCUCUUUUAUUGAUUAACAUUUAAACAGAUCAUCAGUUACAAUCACAUUUAAAACACUUUGUAUCUAAAAUAUGAAAAAUAAUAUUCCCUCCGUUUCUUUCAAUAGAGGAUUUCUAUGUAAGAAAAACUUUACCACUCGGCCACGGAGGCCCCGAAAUUCUUAAGAAAAGAAGCUCUGGUUAGACAUUUUUAUAUGCUUUUAGAUUUUAUUAUAUUGGGAACUAGGAUUUGUAAUUACUAUUUCUGUGUGUAUACUGUUGAUUAAUCAAAGCUUUCAUACCAUACAAAUAAUGAAGGGGGUGAACCCACAUCUGGGCAUUGAGGAGGGAAUUACUAUGUUUACAGCUGAAGUUUAUUAUUCAUUUCUGUUUCGAAAUAUCUAUUUACGAUGUCAGAUCAUAAAUAAUUAAGCACUCUAGGGUCAGAUUACCAUGAAUAUACCCAGAUUUAAAAAAAUCGCAGUAUUCUACAUCCUUUGCCUGUUUUGUAAAAAUAAAUAAUUCAUAACGAAAAAUUACAUCAUAUUGCUAUUAUUAGCUUUCGGGGUAUGCAUUAAUCUACGAUUCACGUUACGCGAAUAAAUCUGCAUUGUUUAAGUGGUCUCAUUGAGAAUUCACUCAAUGAAAUCGGUUCAAACUAUAUAAAGCUUUUCAUUCAUAUAUAUCGUAAAGUACUUCCUCCUUUUAACUUGACGGCAAAUACAUGAUAGAUAAAUAUAUAGAACACGCUGAUUGGAUAAUCGGGGCCAUUCUUUUAUUUCAUUGGUUGAUCCGGACUCGGAAUUUAACUCGGGAUAAACUUUAAAGGUAAUCAAUACCUGCAUACCUUUUUCCCAGUAUGAUUUAUCUAUCUACCUCUUACGUAACGAAACUAAAAAAAAAUCCCUACACAUCCUACACGUAGAGGCCUUCCUGAAACGUAAUGAUUAGCCAAAAUGGAAGAUAAAAAUUUUCCAAUCGUAUAGUUUUAUUUUCAACUGAUAGCAAAUAUGGCAAAGGGGCAGCCAGUACACCCUCGUCAUGCUAAAACAACAACAGCAAUCUAUAUAAACUGACCACACUUCUGGACAAAAUGUAAAUCUGUAACACUACAUUGCACACAGUCAAUUACUGGUGAUAUUUUACAAAUAUCUUAACACAAACAUAAAUCCUACACACGCGCACACCUAUGCAAUCACACCUACACCUACGCACGCACGCACCUACACCUCACAUACCUACACACCCACCUUCACCUCACACACCUACACCUACACAAACACACACACACACACCUCACACUAUAUAAUAUAUAUUCAUCAUAAAUAUUAAUCAUUUACUCAUUCCACUAUCGGCAUUUCAUUUGUCACAGACAUAAGGAAUUUCUACGUAUGAACACAUUAAUCUAGUACAUAGGAAAACUCGGAUAGCAUUUCCAUGGACUCGUUCUCUAGAUUUCGUUCUGAACUUCGGUCUGAGUCUGAACACGUGAUGGAGCGAGAUAGCGCGAGAUUCGUGUAACCAAUGGUAAACUGAGUUAACUGGUUGUCUGACUGUAGCUCGGUGAGAUGCGUAUUCCACGAACUGCUUCUGGAGGGUUUCAGUGUCUUUACAGUCGUAGAUUCUGAACAUUGAGACGAUGAUGAUGCUGUACUCCGUUCUGUGUCCGAUUCGUUUCUUUUGUUUUCCUGCAUUAGUCUCUUCGUUAGUACUUUUUCUUUCGGUUGUGUUUCUUCAUUUUCAGUUGGCAUAUCUAUGGUUUCUGACGCGGUGGGUUGGGGUUUUGCAGUCACGUUCGGCUGAGAACUUGAAAUUGUAAAACAAAAUAUGACUAUUCCAGAAUCUAUCCUCCUUUGGAUAAACAUGUCUUCGCAUAUCUAUCACAUCAAAUUGGCAUCAUUCAAGGUUCAUCUUAUGGUAUCUAAUUCCUUGUUAAUAAGGAUAUAAUGAUAUAAUUACACUGUAUCCAUAAUGAUUUAGACACAAGUUCAAUUUCAACACAAUUGAUUUCGAAUUCUCAUAAUUCAAUUACUUACUUGUUCAGACACAAAAGCCUAUCUUCUUCCUUUGUUUUGUCGACCUUUGUUGAUGCUAAAUAAGUAAGUAGGUAAAAAUAUUUUAAAGUCGGUACACGCAUGUACAUAUACGUUGAACAAUGAAUACUGAGUUCAUAUAUACGUAACAUACUACAAAUAGGACAAAUGAUGUAAUGAACUUUCAGAACAGUUUCCCAUAAUGGACGUUUUGUAAUCCGGUUACACCAGGAAAAAGGAUUACUUUAGUAUAAAUACCACACUGCACAGAAGUCUGGGAUCAGUGACUCGGUUAACUUCUGUAACUCAGUUAACAAUAUAUUGAUAAAUCACAUAAUCAUGUUCAAAUGUAUCUUACUGUAUUGACUAAUGGCAGAUUGUUUCUGAGCACGGCGAAUGAAGACAUAGGCGGUGCUGAAGAGAACCAAUGACGCCAGCAGACUCAUUACAAUGACGAGUAACACGGUGGGUGAUGACGGACCUGCAAGAAAACACAUCUAAUGUCAGAAUUUUGUAUCAAUGAAAUUUGAAACUAAAUAAGCUACUUACUUGCACUUGCACAGAUUUACGUAAGUGAAGGAGUAGGUCUUUGCUAUAUGUAAUCAGAACUUGAGUUAUUACAAAAUAUAUUUCUCACCUUGAAAUGUAAAGUCCUUUGGAUCAUUUGCUGAGGCUUUUAGUUCUUUCGUACUUGAGAUUCUGAAAGAGAUUUACAGAUUUGUAAGAAAAUCUAACCCCUGUAGAUAACGUAGGCGUAGUGUGAGAGAAACUCACCCCUGCAUACUUACUCUAUGACAUCCCCACAAAUAGCGUCGGCUUUGUCGGUACAUUGGCUCUCUUCCUUUCGUCCAAGAGAGCUACAGUUCCUGCACGUUCUGCAGGUGACGUCAAAAGAGCGUCUGUCGUUGUAUGUUCCCGGAGGACACUUUCUACAGGGAGAACAAUUCUUGGCUCCGUGUACGGGGUCCAUUCUUAGACUGUGUUCCUGUAAGUGCAGGUAAAUAUAUCAAUUGCUAAAAAGUUCAAGUUCAUUCAUUUAAUGUUAAUUAAUUACAAAACCAUUUAUAACACGUGGUACAUGAGAACGCUAUAUAAGUUACACACGUUCAGAGUAUGAAACAUUAGAUCGAAAAAUUUAAGUAGCAUAUGACUGAAUUUUUAAUAUAUUAUAAACCUCAGAUAAACUAUUUUUCUUUUUCAAAUGAAGGAAAUAUUUUUGAUAUUAUGACUCAUUAUUAUAGUUCAGAUAUUUUGUGACGUGUGUUUGUUUUACUGAGGAACCGUACGCUCGGUGAUCCCCCUUUUGUACCUGCACAGAGAUGAGUGAGUACCCCUUGUUGCAUUUGUCACACUGAAGACAUACGCCGGCUUGAAAAUGGUAGAAGGUAUUGGAGCCCGGCUCACAGACCACAGUUGUUGCCCGCUGUGAUCGACCUUGGGCUCCAUGAAGACAGAGCAAGUCGAGUAGCGCCAACAUCAAACACACAUACAAUUCUGAUUUCAUCCUGCUUCAAUACGAGGCGGAAAAAAUCCUGUGGGAAGAAGUGGAAUAAAUGAGGGCUGUCGUCACAAAGUAAUCGAGGGUGCUUAUGUACACUUCAAACUUUGAUGAUCAAGGCCAGUAUUAAGCUUUGUUGAUUUUCAAAAAUAUCUUCUAGUUCAAAUAUUUGCAAUGUCGGCACUUUUUAGCCAAAUGAAAUAAAAUAUAAAAUGAAAAAGCACUAAGGCAAAUAAAUAUAUAUUUUUUCACUUCAAAAUAUUUAUCAUAUCAAAAUUAAAUAUAUAUUCAUUGUUCUAAAACUAGUCUGAAGAGAAAAAAUUUGUCGCAAAUUCAUUUUAACAUUAAGAAAAUUAAAGCACAAAAUGUAAGUAGAGAAUAUUUAAAGUUUUGCGAUGCGGUUCAUAAUAAAUUAGCUUACCCUAAUCAAAGAAAAUGUUCAUCCUUUUUCUCACAAUUGACGAAGCCAAUGUUUAAUUAUAUCAGGCUUACAUUUCUUCGCCUUCCCUCUCGUCCUGUAACCACAAACUAAAGUUUCAACAUUCAUAUCGCAUUUAUAGUAUAUAUACAAGUACUUCCUAAAGAAAUGUGUAUUCUAAAUAGUGUAGGAAGAUUUAAAAAUAAUCGGAGCAUUUGAUUGGUCGAUGACGUAGAGUGUUUAUUAUUGGAUGCCCGUGUUGUAAGAGAAGUAUCACGCGGUCGAUCUACUUUCAUAAUACAGUCUACGUUGCUUAAUUUGAAAACGAGUAAGACAAGACCUUCUUAUCACUUCUUAUCUCUGAGAUACAAAAUCAUACAUCUGUUUAUUUUUGCAUCUUUUUUUAGAAACAUUCUACUUUUUCCUUUAUUUGAUAUAUAUGAAAAGAAAAACCUUUUUAUUAAUUUUCCUGCAUGUGAUAAGCUUCAAAAAAUACCCUGAAUCGAUAGCUAGAUUAACAUCUAAACAAUCUCCCAUUCAUUAUGUUGUCGAUUUAUUAUCUUUCUCUUCUUUCACUUUUCCUGCUUUUUGUCGGGGUCGGGGUGGGGGUGACGGUAGGCGCUUCUAAUUCUAAUUUCGGAGAAUUUAGAAUCCUACACAGAACGCACGUAAUUACGUAUUCGUGCAGUCUGACAAAACUCUUCAUUGUUUCCAAUAUUGCCUACAUCUACUACACGGUACACGAGAACGCGUAUACUUGUAAUUAUAACAAUUACUGUCUUUCUGGAGCAGACAAAAUUGCUGUACACUAGCGAGCUAGCUAUACCCGAUACAUGUACAUAGUUUAGGUCGUAUCUUUUAUUGAAUUGUUCUGUUUGUUUGUUUUUAGUGCUGUUAUACUAUUAAGAAAAUGUCACAUUGAUGUUUAAUUUUUUACCUGUGUAUACUUUGUACGUUCACUCUUUCUCUCUCUGAAUUGUCUACAAUUAUCAUUGUGUACAAUCGUUACUCUGAUGAGCCAGUUUGGCUCAAAGAAAUAAAGAAAUUAAAAUCGUUUAUAAGGGGUGGUCCUAUGGACACUCUAAAUAUGACCUCGUCAUCAACACGGCCGGAGGCUCCGUCAAACAGGAAGUCGGUGUACGUCUCCAUAUCUGCUUCAUUUCUACCAUACACAAUGGCGGAUCUAGGGGUGGGGCCGCCCCUGAUACAUAUAAUUACAUCUUAUGAUAGGAUCAUUUUGAUGACUUUUGGUCGCUAGACGAAACAAUUUUAAAUACUCGCUUUACAAACAUGAAUUAAGGCUAUCAUUUUAUAUGUAUAAACAUUACUGUUACGGCUUUUAAAAAUCACAAAGGCAUGAAAUAUCGUUCCAACUUGUAAAUGCACUAGCAUUAGUUAAUACAAUAUGGAAGGUUUAUAAUAAACAAAACAUUUGAAGAAAAAAUAUUAAAAUCACACUUACUAAUACAGGUGUUUAGAAAUUUAGGUGUGAUAAUAGAUUUGUUCAUUGAAUGAAAGCAAAAAAAAGUAAAGUUUUUCAACACGUAAAACUUGAUCAUCUGGAGAUUUGUAUGUGCUUUUCAUGGGUUUUUAUUGAAACCUUGCUGGCCUACGUGCUGAUAUGGCAAUUUGCAAUAAAGAAGCUGAAUUUAUAAAAUGUUGAUGUGGUAUGCAAAUGAAGGGAACUGGAAUAUCAUUAGAUUUUGAGCUUUAAAUGGAUUGCAGAAACCUAGCAUGCUUCAGAAAUGCGACUGAUGUGUCAUAAAUAUAUAAACCAAGUGACAUAUCAGCGUUAUAAACCAAUCCGCGACAAUGUCUCAUAUCGUUAACGGACUCCCAAACAUUUGGCAAAAUCACAGGGGCUAAGCCCGUUUUAUGGUAUCACAGAGUUCGGGCCCAAAACGGACUUGGUCCCUGUGGGCAAAAUACUGGCUAAAGUCAAAAGUAAAUUUUACUUUACUCGAUCAAUUCAAACAAAAAUGGAACGCUGUCAACAACUACGAGCUAUAGAGUGUACAAGGAUGAAAUAAAAUGCGAAAAAUAAAUUCAAUAUCCUAUCUAGAAAUGAUACUAUGCUAAAUUUCGAACCUGUAAUCAUGCACUACUUAUAACGAAAGUGAACGCUGGCAAAAUGAACUCGGAGUUAUACAUGCGAUUUAAUUGAAAUUGGUGAAUUAAUCUCACUGCAUGUUUAAUAGCAACUCUCUGAUUGAUGUAAGUAAUUUAUCACCAAAACAAAUACGUUUCAAAAACAGUAUAUAUUACAUUUAAAAAUAUAAUGAAUUCAAACAUAUAAUCUUCUCUAAGUUUAAGCGGCCAAUAUUCAAUUCAGUAUUUAAUAAUUUCAGAGAAAAUUUGUUGAAAAUGAAGAAAUAUACAUGAAAAGUGUCGUAAAUCAUUACUCGGGAAAAAAUCACCUUUGAUAGUCGAUCUACCUCGCUAACCUUCUUAAUUUUGUUCAUCAAUGUCAAAAAAACCAUGCACUUCCGUUCGUCCACUUCUGAAGUUUUAUGCUUUCAAAAAAUCACCACGUCCACAUCUAAAGCGAUACCUGUCCACUUUGUGAAAACGAGUCCCGUUAAUUUUUAAAACGUAAUUAAUUAGUUCCAUUGACAUCCCAGGAAGAAGAAUCUGCCGUAUGAGUUCCUCGUUAUUUUAGAAGUUCUUCCCCAUUUUAACCGAAGUUUCAGAAAUGUACUACAUUCAUCAAAAUUGUUUGUAUUUAAACACCCCGCAAACCAAAUAAAAGUGGAAUUAUCUGGGUCAGGGAUAGCGGUGAUACGAAUAUAGGCCAAGUGGUUUCAUAUUUAUUAUUAAAUAUGUUUUUCUUCCAGCACUACACGUUGAAGUUUCUGAAAUUUACAACACCCUUUGAUCAGAAUUUCACCUACACCAGCCUUACCUGAGAAAGAAUCGCAAGCGUCUAUCCCUUCUUUCUUCUUAUUCUGAUAAUUUUUAUAAAAUCAAAGGUAAAAUUCUCGUUCUAACUAGGAUCCAGGAAGACUAGAAUUUGUUUUAAGUUUCCGUUUUAGAAAAUUAAAAAAUAGAACACCUUCCUAUAAGAUAGCCGCUUCCUCUAAAUAUCAGCGCUCCUUUAACAGUUUGUCUAUAUGAUCUACGACAGGCAUAUUGAUAAAUAUGCGAUGAAUGUGUUCUAUGUUUACUAUCCUGAUGCUGUUUACCUUAACAAAGAGGACUGCAGCUCAAAUUCACUAUGUAUUCUGUAAAACAGGUAUUGUUGAGGAGUGGGCUGCUUUUAUGAUGUACAGAGAGAAAGAGAGCGAGAGAUUGUUUGUGUUUGUAGACAUACGACUUAUUUAUGUCAAAGUGCAUGUAUUUAUGUUGACAUGCGAUUUAUUUAUGUAAACAUGCGAAUUCUUCAAUGUCGACUUGUUUAAGUCGACAUGCAGUAUUCUUCAGUCGACAUGCGAUUUAUUUAUAUCGAUAUUCAUUAAGGUAUUCAUGUCAAAUCAACAUAAUUAUCUCGCACGUUUAAAUACUACCCUUUUUGGGGCAUACAUACAAAGUAGUAGGCCGCCGACAGGAUUUCUCCUGGCCCCUCUAUCCUGCACAUUUUGUUCCAGUUCUUUCCUUGUUUUUCCUAUUGUUUUGGUGUCGCCCUCCAGGUCUCUCCGCCAGGUGUUUCUUGACCUACCCCUCUUACCUUUUCCUUGGAGGGUUCCAGGAUAGUGCUUGCCUUGUGAUGUUCGGAUUUGGUUUGCGGAGAGCGUGCCCUAUCCACCAUAUACAUAAGUUGCAUGUCUGCAUAAUUAUGGUGCAUUUUAUUUUGAAGUGCUCUCUAUAAUCAAAUUUUGAGAAACCAAUUUAUCAACAACAAAAAAUUGGUAAUCGAUUUUUUUAAGAAAUAGUUAGAUGUUUCUGUAUUUGUUGAUUUUUUUUUUUUUUUUUUUUUUUUUUUGUAGGCAGAUAGAAAACAUCGUUGUUUUUCUGAAUAAACAAACACAACAAUUUCAAGUGGCUGAUUUUUACUGACAGUAAUUGGUGUGGACGCUAGACUACGUUAUAUCGUGCAUGUCCUGCGUCAUACGAGAUGAUCAAAGGCUCACUACAACUGCAGUGGUUUCGUUUCAUUCGUUUUUAUGAAACGGAUCAUGUAUGGUUUUACAAGCCGUUGGCACCAGUUCGUGACGUUACUUAUAUAAGAUACACAAUGGCUGCAUUUUAUCUAAGAUUCCCUAACAAGAGCAGAGCAAACAGUAUCUCUCCAAAACCCGGGGGCAGCUAUUGUGUCAGCCAUUGUGUCGAAGUCCAUUGUACCAACUGCAGUCUGUUAAAACUAAAUCCUGACAUACAAAGAGGGCCGACAUGUUCCAUUACGCCCUGAGUCAGAUGUGAUAUUGCGCUCUUUGACUAGUGAUUACAGUCUAAGUACAAGUCUGCCUUGUCGAUGUACAUGUCAUUAGCUGUGUACUGUAUGGGAUGCCAACAGAGCACUUCAAUGAUACACCGACAUAUAUGUCUCUGUUUUGAAAACAGUGUUGUGUAACCGGAAGCGAGAAAAUGCAACGGACCAGAUCGGGAUUCGAACCCGGGGCCCCUGAAUCUCUAGUCAGGUGCUCUACCAGCUGAACUAACUGAACGCCAGCAAUCGCGGACCCGUCUGACUACCACCUCCCUCCUGAAAUUCUUCACAUUUUGAAGACACACAACCCAGAUUUUGAUUUGCCCCUGGCAAGACUUUCACCUGCAAAUCUAGGGCACCCAAUGUAACAGGAAGCGAGAAAAUGCAACGGACCAGAACGGGAUUCAAACCCCAGCGCCCUGAAUAUCCAGUCAGGUGUUCUACCAACUGGGCUAUCUGGCCAUCGGCGAUCGAACUCGACUGACCGUUACAGUAGUUUAAUACCUUACAAUUCUUAUCUUUCAUGACAAACUGACCCAUUAAAUGUGAGAAGUGUUUGAGUUUUUAUAGAACAUGAUGAUUUGGACCGCCAGAGAUGUGGGAGAUGACUUUGGAACCUGUCGUUCCAAGAACCUCCCCAGUGACGGAGAUCUAAUAAGGGGAUACUUCCAAGAACCUUCCCAGUGACAGAGUCGGUGAUCACAGAUCUAAUAGGGUGAUACUUCCAAGAACCUCCCCAGUGACGGAGUCGUUGAUCAAGGAUAAAGCACCCUUGAUCUUUUAUUGUUAGAUAUGCAUUGCAUUUAAUAAGGAAGGUGAUUUGAAGUGCUCUUUUCCUGAGUUUCUCUGAUAGCGUAAUGGACUUAAUUUAGGAGGAAAUUAACAAUAUGUCAAUACACUCUAAAGAGGCUCAUCCCGCGCGCCUAUAGAGUACCAAUUCAUUUCCCAUAGACCUCAAUACUAACCUUUAAAUUGGCCCUCUCACUAAUUAACUAUAUUAAUUUUAAACAAAUGACCACAAACAUUUCAAAGUUCAUUCCAUGUUUUAAUAAAAAACGACAAAAAUUAUAUAGGGUCCCGUGCCUUCUAUAGUUCAUAUUUGUACUUUUUUUUUUUUUUUUUUUUUACAACACAUAGCAAUCUGCAGUAAAUUACACUCAAAAUAACUCAAAA